CCCUUAGAUGUUCUGGGCCGUACGCGUGCUACACUGAGUGGAUCAGCGGGUCAGGUUGCGCGAAAGCGUUUCCUAAUCUUUAAAUCCGCUCGUGAUGGGGAUUGACGGUUGCAAUUUUCUGCCAUGAACGAGGAAUACCUUGUAAGCGCGGGUCAUCAUCCCGCGCUGAAUACGUCCCUGCCCUUUGUACACACCGCCCGUCGCUCCUACCGAUUGAGUGGUCCGGUGAGGCUUUGGGAUCUGAGCGGAAAGAGCGUUUCGCUGUUUCUGCUCGGAAAACUCAGUCGAACCUUAUCAUUUAGAGGAAGGAGAAGUCGUAACA
rnacentral:rRNA from 1 species